rnacentral:rRNA from 1 species
AUCGAACGCUGGCGGAAUGCUUUACACAUGCAAGUCGAACGGCAGCACGGACUUCGGUCUGGUGGCGAGUGGCGAACGGGUGAGUAAUACAUCGGAACGUGCCCAGUCGUGGGGGAUAACGUAGCGAAAGCUACGCUAAUACCGCAUACGAUCUACGGAUGAAAGCGGGGGAUCGCAAGACCUCGCGCGAUUGGAGCGGCCGAUGGCAGAUUAGGUAGUUGGUGGGGUAAAGGCUCACCAAGCCGACGAUCUGUAGCUGGUCUGAGAGGACGACCAGCCACACUGGGACUGAGACACGGCCCAGACUCCUACGGGAGGCAGCAGUGGGGAAUUUUGGACAAUGGGAGCAAGCCUGAUCCAGCCAUUCCGCAUGCAGGAUGAAGGCCCUCGGGUUGUAAACUGCUUUUGUACGGAACGAAAAGGCUCUGUUUAAUACCCGGGGCUCAUGACGGUACCGUAAGAAUAAGCACCGGCUAACUACGUGCCAGCCGCCGCAGUAA